rnacentral:rRNA from 1 species
GAACGCUAGCGACAGGCCUAACACAUGCAAGUCGAGGGGCAGCGACAAGGAGCAAUCUGAGGUGGCGACCGGCGCACGGGUGAGUAACACGUAUGCAACCUGCCUGUAAGCGGGGAAUAACCCGUUGAAAGACGGACUAAUACCGCAUAAUACUAAAUUACUGCAUGGUAAUUAUUUAAACAUUUAUGGCUUACAGAUGGGCAUGCGCAUGAUUAGCUAGUUGGAGAGGUAACGGCUCCCCAAGGCAACGAUCAUUAGGGGUUCUGAGAGGAAGGUCCCCCACACUGGUACUGAGACACGGACCAGACUCCUACGGGAGGCAGCAGUGAGGAAUAUUGGUCAAUGGACGAGAGUCUGAACCAGCCAAGUCGCGUGCAGGAAGAAUGUCCUUAAUGGAUUGUAAACUGCUUUUGCAGGGGAAUAAAGUGCAUCACGUGUGAUGUUUUGUAUGUACUCUGCGAAUAAGGAUCGGCUAACUCCGUGCCAGCCGCUGC